AUCUUGAUAACCUCAAAAAACCUCCUUGAUCUGCCAUCCGUCACUAUGUAAUGCCUAACCUUCCCUUACCUAUUCUGUUCCAUGUAUCAGUUCCUGUACUAUACACUCAGGCCAGUUGGGAACAGACUUAGUUCUACUAAAGAAAUCAAUGAGAACAAGAUUAGAGUAUGGGAUCUGCAAGAAAAAACUUGAAUCAUCGUGCUUAAUUCCAAUCUGCUUUCUUCAUAUACACCCAGUGCUCAAGUAUACAGACAGAUGUAACUAUUCAAGACUGUUCAAUGGGCAGCAACAAGCUAUUUCUGAAUCAGAGGGAGAAAACAGACUCCAGUGGGCAGAUUGUGCUGACUCAGACUCCAGAAUCCCUGGCAGUGUCUCCUGGAGAUACAGUCACUAUCCGCUGCAAAGCCAGUUCCAGCCUGACCUGGGGUAGCAAUCAGCUCCUAGCCUGGUACCAACAGAAAUCAGGACAAGCACCGAAGCUCCUUAUCUAUGAUGGAAGUUCCCUGCAAUCCGGGGUCCCAGCCCGGUUCAGCGGCACUGGGUCUGGCACAGAUUUCACUCUCACAAUCAACAGAGUUGAAGCUGAAGAUGCUGGAGUUUAUUACUGUCAGCAGUAUCAGAACUUUCCUCUCACAGUGAUACAGACCCAUACAAAAACCUCCCCACUCUGUUCCUUCAGGGUAACAGCUGCUUCCUACCUACAUUUCAGAGAAUUUGAAAAACCUUUCAGCACCACAGACUUCUUCUGCUCCCUCUGCUGAAGGGACUAGGAUAUUGUUGGCUCUUUCCGAAAACCAGUGUCCAAAUUUCUAGCUUCACUAUUGGCCCAAGGCCAAACAGAAGCAAAUGUCCCAUCCUUGCAAGUCAGUUACUCAGGGAAGGGGAAAAUCAGUGAUACGGAGUCUGAGUAUCCCAAGCCAUUGUUCAUUUAUUUGCACAUAAACAUGAGACCUUGGCAGAAAGCUGAUCUCAAGCAACAAGGAAACCCUUCUCUCAGAAAUCUAACCCAACACCAAUGUCCAGUACCUACACUGCAAGUCUGCUUCAAGAUUUCACUCUAAUCAGACACCACAGCAAAACACUCUCCUGUUUCUCAUACUGCUCCCUUUCCUCACAACCCUGCAUAACCCAAAACCAGCAAACACAAUGCAUUUCUUCCCAAAACUACACAUUUGCUCACAUAAUCAGAAAAACAACUGGAAAGCAUGUACAUAAGUGUACCACCGGACGAUUCCUCCCUUAACAUUAAUACACGGAAGUACAUUGUCCAGCCAGACAAGAUUAGUGCUAAAAUAUGUCUUUCCAUUGAGAAAUGUUCAUUGUACUGGAUGAAAUAAGAGUCACUUUUUCCUGCACAAUUUUAUUCCCUGGUUCCUUGCCAUCUUCUAAAACCUGUCUGGGCAGUUAAGGAUUACGCCAAAGACAGUUCUCUUCGUGCUUUAUUAGCAACAUUACCACAUGGACUGGCUUGGGAUAACAGACAAGAGCUAUUGGCUGCAUCUAGACUUCCAUUAAUGGAGGGAAGGUCAUAGCUACAUGGGGCCCUGAGGGAGAAACUGGACAGUUGUCAGGUUCACAAGUGAGCCAAUAGAGGGAGAAGCCCAGCAACAUGUAGACCCACUUUUUUCUCUACUCAAGCUCAUCUGAGGAAGUGCAUUUUACAUAUGAAAGCUCAUGAUACUA